UGAAUACAAUGCUUUACGUGGUUCGGUGGUAACACCUGCAUCCACGGCAGACAACUGAAUUCUAUUGAUGAUUUGGGACAAGUACUAUACAAGAGUGAGCUUCGAGCUCCACACGCUUAACUCACAUAUUGCACUUUCUGAAUUCUAUUUUUCACUCUCUAUCUUCGUAUGUGAAAACUCUCUAACCGAAAAAUUAGUAGAAAUCUAAGACAUUUAUACUUCUCUACAAUCACAAUUAAUCAUACAAAUGAGUGGCUCAGACUAGCUCUAUAAUAACUAAUCAAAGAAUGAUUAUAGACCAUACUGCAGCUGAUCACUCCCCAUGCAUGCAGCUUGUGUGAAGUAGUUAGAUGAAAGCAUAUCUCACAAUAUAUAUAUAUAUAUAUAUAG
rnacentral:lncRNA from 1 species